CAGAACCUGAGUUUUAUGGUUAAAAUGUUUUAUGAUUUAACAUAUAUGUAUAAUAUUUAGCCAAAACAUAUAUAUUGUCUCGCCAAAGCCUAAUUAAAAAUCUAGCCUAAGCCUCAAAAAACUGUAAAUAAUGAGUUUUAUCUUUCAGAACACAAUGGGUUAGUUGCCCCCUUCUAACCUGAAAUUGUGUCUCUUUCUCCAGAUAAUUGUGAUUGUUGUGAUUCCUCUAAAUAGUUCCGGGCUCGUAUCCGUGCUUUAAACCAGGCUGGCACGAGUCCCGUUGAUAUACAACCUCGACUUGCUCCGCUGACUCGCGGAGAAGUUCUUAACUCCUGAGAUGGUUCCUUCUCUUCUACUCUGAGAUGGUUCAGUUCUCUUCUACGUUCCUUCUUUUCUACUCUGAGAUGGUUCAGUUCUCUUCUACUCCCACCUACUAAUCUUGACAUCCUGAGUCUAAGGAAGUCUAUAUAAAGACCUCCGUUGUCAAGACUCCGACAUCACCGGAAGCUGAGUCAUCCUUGUUCUCUGGAUCCUCAGCUUGUGCUCCAGAAUAUCCUGCUGGUGCUCUAGAGACCCAUA